rnacentral:rRNA from 1 species
UACGUAGGGGGCAAGCGUUGUCCGGAUUUAUUGGGCGUAAAGAGCGUGUAGGCGGCCUGACAGGUCUGCUGUGAAAACUCGAGGCUCAACCUCGAGACGCCGAUGGAAACCAUCUAACUAGAGUCCGGAAGAGGAGAGUGGAAUUCCUGGUGUAGCGGUGAAAUGCGCAAAUAUCAGGAAGAACACCCGUGGCUAAGGCGGCUCUCUAGUACGGUACUGACGCUGAGACGCGAAAGCGUGGGGAGCGAACAGG